UCCGAGUUGUCCCCGGCAGUCCUCUUAGAGUCCCCGGCAUUACCCGCUGGCAACUAAGAGCAGGGGUUGCGCUCGUUGCGGCACUUAAGCCAACACCUCACGGCACGAGCUGACGACAGCCAUGCAGCACCUGUGCUAGCCCCUUGCGGACACGAGCUUUCACCCGCUUUAACUAGCAUGUCAAGCUGAGGACUCUCGGGGGACUGCCGGCGUCAAGCCGGAGGAAGGUAGGGAUGACGUUUUGGAAGCAAGCU
rnacentral:misc_RNA from 1 species